rnacentral:tRNA from 1 species
GGGCAGUUAGCUCAGCGGCAGAGCACUGACCUCACACGUCAGGGGCCAUAGGUUCAAAUCCUAUACUGCCCACCA